rnacentral:lncRNA from 1 species
UUUAUUUCUAACAUCCAGCACACGUACUGGGUGAGCCUCUGUACAUAAAGCCGUGCGGGUGCUGACAGUUACAGAAACACCACAAGACCACGCACAAGCAGCAGCUUCUGAUUUACAAAUGAUGUCUUCUAGCCCCCACAAGACCCGACAUACCAGGCAGCACGGCUAGACAGGCAGUUCUAAUUGGUGUAAUCCCAGGCAAGGUCUCUGCCCUGUCACCAGCACUAUUCUCCUGGGCUACUCCUGCACGUGGUGACUGCGGUGGGAAGGGCGCAGCCGCUGCACUGGGCAUCCUCAGCCCUCAGUUCUUCUGGUAAUAGAACCACCUGUCAACUUCAGGUGGGAUUGGGUUGGCAGCUUUACACGGUGGUGCUGCAUCCACAGUAGCUUUCGCACACUCUUGACUACAGCAGAAGGGGCUGCCCGAGACCGUCAGAUUUGUGCAGCUGAUCUCUCCUCCGUCAGUUUUUUUAGCUAUCAAAGCUUUCCAGUGUUCGUGCGUGCUUUUGAUAACGUUCACUGCAAAAUCCUUAUCUUUAAAUUCCCCAUUAAAAGCAAACUGGUUUUCCGGCUUUCCAUCAGGUACUUUGUAUCUUCUAAACCAGUCCACCGUAGCUUCUAAGUAUCCAGGCUUCAUCCUUCUGACAUCGUUGAUAUCGUUAUAGUUUUCUGCUUCAGGGUCUUCAACGUUGAUAGCAAUUAUCUUCCAGUCUGUUUCUCCCUCAUCAAUCAGUGCCAGCGUGCCCAGCACCUUCACCUUGAUCACUUCUCCUCGCGAGCAGACCUUGCUUCCAAUUUCACACACAUCAAUUGGAUCAUUGUCUCCACAGCAGCCAGUGUUUUCAUCCUUAUGGCCUGGGUCCUCCCAAGUCUGUGGGAUAGCACCGUAAUUCCAGAUGUAACCCUUGUGGGGAAACACAUUAGCUACGUAGCGCAGUUUUCCCUUCUUCACAUCUUGCUUAAUUGGGUUUAAGGGAUCCUUUGUCGCAAUCUCCAUUUUAGCAUUGGUCCAUCGAGGCACUUCCACGACCAUGUUGAAUACAUUCUUGCCGGCGUCCGCGUACAGCGGGAUGUCGUGGAAGGGGGAGAUGUACCGCCCGGCCGCGUCCUUGAAAAACAGGCGGUACUCCAGGCUGUUAGGCGCAGCACGCUCCUCCACGCUGUACCCCGCCAUUGCACCACGCUCCCCGCCGCCCGCUCGGCUCACUGCGCAGGCGCCGCUGCCCGCACCCCCCGACGGCCCAUACCCACGCCCCCGCGUCUAGCUCCGCCCCUAUGACACAUAGCCACGCCUAUCUGCGCCAAUCCCCG